GUGGGGAAUAUUGGGCAAUGGGCGAAAGCCUGACCCAGCAACGCCGCGUGAGGGAAGAAGGUUUUCGGAUUGUAAACCUCUGUCCUUGGUGACGAAGGAAGUGACGGUAGCCAAGGAGGAAGCCCCGGCUAACUACGUGCCAGCAGCCGCGGUAAUACGUAGGGGGCGAGCGUUGUCCGGAAUGACUGGGCGUAAAGGGCGUGUAGGCGGCCGAUUAAGUCUGGAGUGAAAGUCCUGCUUUCAAGGUGGGAAUUGGUGUGGAGACUGGUUGGCUUGAGUGCGAAAGAGGUAAGUGGAAUUCCCAGUGUAGCGGUGAAAUGCGUAGAGAUUGGGAGGAACACCAGUGGCGAAGGCGACUUACUGGGCCGUAACUGACGCUGAGGCGCGAAAGCGUGGGGAGCGAACAGGAUUAGAAACCCCAGUAGUCC
rnacentral:rRNA from 1 species